UACAGAGGGUGCGAGCGUUGUUCGGAAUUAUUGGGCGUAAAGGGCGCGUAGGCGGUUGGGUAAGUCACCUGUGAAAUCUCCUGGCUCAACUGGGAGCUUGCAGGCGAAACUGCUUGACUGGAGUGUGGGAGAGGUGCGUGGAAUUCCUGGUGUAGCGGUGAAAUGCGUAGAUAUCAGGAGGAACACCUGUGGCGAAAGCGGCGCACUGGACCACAACUGACGCUGAGGCGCGAAAGCUAGGGGAGCAAACAGG
rnacentral:rRNA from 1 species